CAUGCGCCAGGAGCAGGGAGAGACAGGCUGGCGGAGAGACAGGACGCACGGAGGCCGCCAGACUCCGAAGAACCUGGCCCCAUGAAGGAAACAGAGAUCAACUUAGCUGCCCUGUGACUGCUCCCAUGCGUGUCAUUCUCCCCAAGACUUUUAUCUGUACAAUUUUACACACUCCAGACACUCCGAAGCCCAGGAAGGGCCAACACAGACAACGGUGGCUUUCAUCCUGGCGUGGCCAGUUAUCUGGAUUCUUCUUCCACACCUGACCUACCCUACGUGGAUGUACAGGCACCCUUCAGCCAAGAUGAAUCUCCAAGUGAAGGCUUCUGAGAGGAGAAAGACUCAUUGUGACCUGGCAUUUCCCUUGAC